AUUGAACGCUGGCGGCAGGCCUAACACAUGCAAGUCGAGCGAGCGGCGGACGGGUGAGUAAUGUAUGGGGACUGCCCGCUAGAGGGGGAUAACUACUGGAAACGGUGGCUAUUACCGCAUACUGUCUGGUAACCCCUAUGGGAUUAGCUAGUAGGUAAGGUAAUGGCUUACCUAGGCGACGAUCCCUAGCUGGUCUGAGAGGAUGAUCAGCCACACUGGGACGGAGACACGGCACAGACUCCUAAGGAGGCAGCAGUGGGGAAUAUUGCACAAUGGGCGCAAGCCUGAUGCAGCCAUGCCGCGUGUAUGAAGAAGGCCCUAGGGUUGUAAAGUACUUUCAGUCGGGAGGCGUUACCGACAGAAGAAGCACCGGCUAACUCCGUGCCAGCAGCCGCGGUAAUUC
rnacentral:rRNA from 1 species